GUGCUUUCUUUGGCAGCACAUAUACUAAAAUUGGAAUGAUACAGAAAAGAUUAGCAUGGCUCCUGCACAAGGAUGACAUGCAAAUUCGUGAAGCAUUUUGCAUUUUU
ensembl:snRNA U6 U6 spliceosomal RNA